ACUUUUAAAUUACAUAAGAUAAUUUUCGAAUUUCUUCAUUUUUUUUGCACGUUUUCUAAUAAAUGAUACAUUUCGUAAAUUAACAACCAAGAAAAGAAAAAAAAAAUGUUUGGAUCAUUGUUUUUGGGUGUCUGUAAAGAUUGAUCGAUUAGACCAUGUUACUACAGAGGUAGCCAGUUUUUUAUUUUUUUAAAAUUUUCUCAAACAAAUUGACUUUUUAUAAGUGAAAUAAUAUUCUGGCUACCUCUGUAGUAACAUGCUAUAAAAUCAAUUCAAAAGAGGUGGAUUUAUUAAAAACCGGUUAGUUUUUGUCAAGAAACUGGCAGCGGGCGGAACAUUCUUUUCUAGUCUUUAAGUUAUAACCUAAGUUUGGCUCUCAUCGUAAUUUAGAAUUUUUUAAAAAUGGUUACUUUUAAUCUUAGCAAACUUCUGGCUGAUAAUUAUCCUCCAAGGUAUAUUUUCACGAGUAAAAAUGUAUCUGAAUGUGCUAAAUUUUUGCAGUCCAAGUUUUUAUCACUUUAUGCUGAUUUCACUGUGAAUUUCAACAUUUUCAAAAGUCUGGCUUUUAAUUUAAUAAAAAAAUUUAAUGAGUGUGGAAAAAGAAAAAAGUUCUUUCUUACUAAAUAUAAACAUUUUUUGGAUCAAAAUCAACAAUGCAAAUAUCUCUUAUUAGAAAAAGAUUCUGAAAAAGAGAUUAGAACACAUGAGGAAGAACUGCUAUUAAUUAGAAAAGGUGAAAAUCUGAUUAAACAGGGUAAUCAACUCAUCAAGCAGGGUGAGCGUAAAAUAAAAGAAGGGGAAUUACUGCUUCGUACUCAUGGAUCCAAUGUAAACAGUGUACCAUGUAGAGUACCUAAAUCAUCUGCAGUCAAUACAUCUUGUACACCAAAACCUAGAUAGUCUUUUAUUAAGCUUACAAAUAGGAUGAAGCGUAAAAGAACAGAUAGUCUUAGAGAACGAGAGGUAGAAGAACUGCAACAUGCUGUCAAAAGGUUUAAAUCUAAUUCUUCUAUUGAUGGUAGGGCUAUUUUAUAUGGUUCAAAUUUGUCAUUGCAAGCUCUUUGUAAUUUGAAACUUACAGAUAGAACAUGGACUGAAUUUAAAAAUAUAGUGACUCAUAAUCGUCAUCUUGUUCCUCCAGGUUUAACCAAGUUGCAGCAAUACAAAAAAUUGACAUAUCCAGAACAGGUUGAAUAUUCUGAAACCAAAGUAAAAUGUAGUCUUUUCCAUAUGAUAAAGCAUUCAUUUUCUAGAGUGUUUGAAUAUCUUUUGGAUUAUGAAAGUAACUGCAUAAUGAGUUUAUCAGAAGAAGAGCGUGAUAAUGUACAAAUUAUUUGCAAAGUAGGAGGUGAUGGUCUAAGUGAUCAAUCUGAGUUUCAAAAUUCAGCAACUAUGAAAAGAGGUGUAGAUGAUCGCUCUGUGUAUAGUAUGUUUGUACUGCUGGAGAUCCGAAGUGGAGAAAAAAUAAUAUGGAAAAAUUUAAUUCCAAAUAGUCCAGAUGCAACCCGUCAUCUUCUUUUUUGUUUUGCAAAAAAGACUGCUAGUUUUAUUCAGGAAAAUUUGAACAUUUGAAAAAUGAAAUUUUUUUAUUGAAGAAUAUUGAAUUUAAACUUGGUGAAAGUACUUUGUAGUAAAGUCUAGUUUGUCAACUAUUUAUACCACAAUGAAUGAUGGCAAAACACUAAACGCUGUUGUAUCAAAUAUGCUUAAAAAAAAAAUUUCAUCUCAGUCCUGCCAUGUAUGUCUUGCAAAUUCUAAGGAGUUUAACUUGAAAACUAUUUGGAAAAAAAAUAUUAAUUUAAACAAGCAUGUUUUAAAACUUGGAAUUUGCAGUCUUCAUCUAUGGAUGCACUGUAUGGAGUGUAUUUUCAAUACUGCUUGUAAACUCCCAGCUGUUAAGCAAGGAAGAAAUAUUCUAUCACAAAAGAGUAAAGAAUUUAUUGAAAACAAAAAAAAAUUCCAGCAUUUAUUCAAGAUACAACUGAAUAUAAGGGUUUCUUUUGUCAGGAAAGGAUGUGGAACAACCAAUACUGGAAAUGUUGCUCGCAAAUUUUUUAAUAACCCGAUUGUGACAGGGAAAUUUUAAACUUGGAUAUCAGAAUGAUUAAGUUGUUUUGAGAUUUACUCAUUGAUAUAAACAGAACAACUACAAAAUAGUUUAAGAAAGCAAAAUGACAGUUCUUCUGAUAACUGCUUAAAAUAAAGGAAGUAAGACCAUGAAGAAUCAUACUGAUGAGCUGUUCUGCGUUGAAUUUAAAAAAAACGGCUAUUUUCAUAGCCACAAGUUAUUAAAAACAUCUAUUAGAAUAGAACGUUGAGAAACUGUGAAAGAAUGCAAAGAGCCAAGUAUCAUAUGAUAGCAGAGUUGUUUAUUAUAUUCAAUGAUACUGUUUAUUUUGAAAUAGUGUUCAUAUACAUAGUUUGUAAAAUUCUAUAAAAUAUAGGCGCCUACUUUUUUUUGAAUAAAAUCAUCCGGACUUGUGUAGUUUCCCGGACAAAUCUAGAAUUAGUCCGGACUAACCGAAAAAAAAAAUACAAUAAAUUGUUUUUUUAUGAAAACCGAA
rnacentral:lncRNA from 1 species